AAAAUACCGCUUAUCCUGGUAAGCUCCACCCCCUAAGGCAUCCUAUAUAAUCCCUGCUUGCUGUUCAGUUCCCUGCUGUCUUCUCCAAGAACAAAGGCAACCAACCUCAUAUUUGUUUCUCUACAGCCUGGGUUCUUCCCUCCCAGUAAAUCUCUUUUAUGAUAUUUGCUGCCUGAUAUGACUCUCUCAUCACAAGAAACAACAAAGCAAAGGGAGUAGAUAGGAAGAAGUGGACCGGGCUAAGGCUCUGGAGCUCCAGAGCUCAGCCGGGGAUAUGUUCCCCUGGGAGCUGCAGUGCUGUUGAAGAAGAGGAGCGGCUAAGGGGAACUGUUACAAUGUAGCACUCCAGUUCACCCAGGAUAUCCUCGCUAAGGGCUGCAAGGCCUCUGCUGAGGAGGCUUCCUUUCAGAGCUCUGUGGUUACUGGGCUCCCAUGUCCCCAACCAUCUGAACAGGAACACCAAUAACUAAGACGUCCCUCUGUGAAGUUUCUCUCUGAUAAAACUUAUUGGGACUCAUUGGAGUCCUUUUUCUCAGCUGGACUUCAACCUCAUUGCUAUGGUUUGAAUGUUCCCACCUCCAAAGUUAGGCUUUAGGAGCUAGGGUGCCAAGGUGAUAAGACCAUACAGUUUGUGCCCUCACAGAUGGAAUUGGUGUCGAAAGGACAGCAUAAGUUCAACCCCUCCUUGCCCUUUUGCACUUCCCACCUCCUAUCAUGUGGACCAAACAUCCUCCCUGAGGAAGAUGCAGCACUUAAGGUGCCAUCUUGGAAUCAGAAUGAUAAAACCUGCUGGCAUGUUGAUUUUGGACUUGCAAGUCUCUGGAAUAGUGUUCCAGCAUGAGACCUGCACCAGUCCCAGGGUUCCUUCAAUUCCAGGGAUUCUCAAAGACCUGGCUCUUCUAAGUUGAGAGAAUCGUGACUGACCCAACACCUGAGAAGAUCACCUUUACAAGAGGACAUUUGGUUGGUUGGAUGCAUGAAUUCCAAGGUUUCAGUUGAUGGUCACCCGGGCCUGUCACUUUGGACCUAAGAUGAAGCAGAAGAACAUCACAGUGCGUGGUGAGGCAUGAGGAAGGUUGCUUGUAUUACAGCAGCCAAGAAGCAGAGAGAGAGACCAAGGACAUCAUACACCAUGCUGAGCAUACUGCUAGUGUCUCAUGUUCCCCAAAUAUCCUCUGCCUCCUAUUUCUAAAGCUUCCCAUACAAUCACAUCAUACAGCAAUGCUAUACAAUCACGGCCCCAGCGAUGGGUUAACCCACUGAUGAGUGUCUGUGUCUGUGUGCAUGUGUGUGUGUUUAUGUGUGUGUGCAGGUAUAUUUUAUAUAUUUAUGUAUAUACAUGUCUGUGGUUGUGCGUGUACGUGUAUACAUGUGCAUGUUUAUGCCUGUGGGUGUGAUAUGCCCUCCCGUGAGCCUGUGUGUAUAGAAGGCAGACAACAACCCCAGCUGACAUUCCUCAGGUGCUAUCUAUCUUGGUUUUUUGAUGCAGGUUCUUUCAUUGUCAUUGUCAUGCAGAUUAGGCUGUUUGUCCUGCCAGCCCCAGGGACCCACCUGUCUCUACGUAUGACCAUGUACCACCAUACCCAGCUUUUUUUUUUUUUUAACAUAGCUUCUGGGGAAUGAAUUCCAGGCCCCCAUGCUUACCAUGCAGGUACUUGAAUGACUUUUCCUACCAGGCUGGCCCUGUUCUUGCCUCUUCUCACCUUUACUAUGCUACUCAGGUUUCUGGAUCCAGCUAAAGAGCUCUAUCAUUCCAUCAAAAGCAUGAGGACAGUCUGAGCCAACACCGACCGCUACUUGACUCUUGUGAGAUGCCUGAGCCAGAAGGGCGACAUUCAGAGUGCCGGGCCGCUCUGAAUUCCAGUGUGUCUUUAACCUAGCAGACUUGGUAGUCACUCAGGAUAUAGCGAGAGACAGCUGAUUUAUGAUAGCUUCAAGCGUGGUGUGCCGGUUAUUUUGAUUGUCAGUUCAGCGGGAGUUUAGAAUGACCGAGGAGACAAGCCUCUGAGUAUGUCUGAAGAUGAUUCCAGAGAGGUUAAACUAACGAAAGGAGACAUGAAAGUGAGUGACACCAUCCCACACUCUAGGGUCCCAGAUCGAAGAAAGGAAGAAAAAGAAAAGGUGAGCUGUAUACCAGCCCCCCUCCCUUUCUCCCUGCUCCCUCCCCCCCCACCCCCCUGCUUCCUUACUGGAGGCACCGUGUGACCAGCCAUCUUCCCUUCUGCCACCACAGCGCCUUCCCAACAGUGACUAACUGCACCUCAAGCUCAGAGCCAAACCCUUUCUUCCUUAAACUGAUUUUGUGGAGUAUUUAGUCAGAGCAACAAGAAAAAUAAUUAAGACCUACAGACUCUGGAAUUAGUGUCUGGUACAAACCUCAAUCCUAUCAUUACUGGGUGAUGGCACAUAAAUAUUUACUAUCCUGAGCCUCAAGUUUCCCCACCUGAAAAUGGAGACAUAAUUAUGCCAACAUCACCAAUAAGAAAGUAACCAAGUGAGACAUACAUGUCAGAUACCCACCCCAGGGUGGGUCAUAAAGGUCACUGAGGGGGUUCAUAAGGAAGGGCCCAGGCAAAUAUUAUUCUUCUGAAACCCCCACAAGAAACUCUCUGAUGUCCUCUGAACAAGCAAGCCCAUCUGUCUCUGAAUUCUUAGUGUAUUUGCUGCAGGUUUUGUGAAGAAGGAGAUGAGGACUGGCUGGCAUUGUCACUCUCUGAGCACAUCUCGAUGUUCAGAGGACUUGACACAUGAUGAUCCCUGCACUGCCCCAUUGAUGUACGGGACGAGGGUUGGGGAGAUGACCGAGGAUGUUCAAGCUAAUUUUUUAAUGCAUGUGGUUUGUCUAACAGAUCAAGGAGGCUAGCCUGCAAGAAAUCUGUUUGCAUAAAAGAUCAGAAAUAAGCCACCUUAAGGGAGAUUCUCAAGCUGGCAUGCCAAAUUAUAGAUGCCCAUCCAUUUUAGGAACUCCCUCACUGAGAGGGGAGACAGCUUACCUCCCCUGAGGCCAAAUGGGCCUGCGACUGUUUUGACAAAUAGAGUAAGAAAAAAAGUCACAGGAUGCCAGUUCUGGAUCUAGAUUUGUAUCUACUCCUUCGGUGUUUCGGAUGAAAAACAGAACAAAACUCUCACCUUAAAAGGGAACAGGAGAUAGUUUAUUCUGAAGACAUUUUGAAUGACCAUAGCCCAGGAAGAGAGAUUUAGGUCACCCCAAAUUCCAUGUUCCAAUUAAGAAGCAAUUUAUGGGGUUUUUAUAGUAUUACAGAACAGGGAACUCUGGCUUCUGAGCAGGAUGGGGGAGUCUCUCCUGUGGGCCACAGAUGCUGACGCCAUUCUUAGUAUCUUGGUGUUGGUGGGAGCUAAUGGUCAGAAGGCUUUUAACUAUUAGUCACAGGAUGUAAGGUCUGACCCAGGGGUAGGUGAGGAUGGCCACUUGACAAUUCAGGGGGGCUAAAGCUAGAUAAGAAUAUCAGCCUCCAGACCUGCAACAUUCCGAUCUCUAUACUUCACUGCGGUACUAAGCAGUCAGCUGGGGUUUGCAGGCACAGCCGUCCUUCCAGGAAUUUUUGGCUCACAGUCUCUCAAAGGCUUCAGACCAGACUCCAGCUGUCAGAUGAAGCCACCCAGCGAUUCCAGUCCACACCAUGUACAGCUACAGCGUUGUUAGCAGACAUCCUCCCUCUUACGCCUAGAUUCCAACACGCAAACCUGUAAAGCAUAUCAGAAUGCUGGUUUAAGCCAUUUAGCUUUGGGACAGCUUAAUCUGCAUCAUGGGGACGUAUCAGGGACAUCUGCAUCCCACCCAUCCCAAAUCACUGAUGAAUAGAACUCAGGAAGAAAAUAUUACAAUUUUCAAAAACCUAUAAACAAAUUAUGGUCUUCAUAUUUCCAUUUAGCAUGUAGACAGCAAGUUACAGUGGUUUCCUCAGCGCCCAAGACUCUGACAAUGACAACAGUUCAUGGGCUCUCCCAGACUUCCCAAAGGCACGUGGUACAUGAAUAUGCACACAAGCACACAUACAUGCACACACAUGUACACAUACACGCACAUACUCCUGAAUAUACACAUAGCUUAGAGACACAGGAAAGACAGUGAAACCUUCAAAGAAGAGCAGAGUGGUUCUGAGUUUUGGUUGUCUCCCCUAAUGGUGCCUGAGAUCAGGGACCAGGAAUAGCCUGAAGAAUUGUUGAAAUAACUGAGAACUUUGCUGUGGCUUGGGUGUCCCCCUUGGGAAAAGUCUGCAUUACACACUCAACCCUCAGUCAACAGUGCCGGGAGGUAGAACCAAAAGAGGAGAGCAGGUCAAGAGGGCCUAGGCCUCAUGAACAACAGGGGUUUUGCUGUAAGUUCUAUCAGCAUCUCAUUCUCUACUUUCCUGCCAUAGAAUAUCACAGGACAGAGGUUCUCUCCAGGUGCCGGGACCUUGAUCUUGAGUUUCCCAUCCUCCAGAAUUUAUUUAGGCAAUAUUUUUUCUUUAUAAAUUAUCCAGCCUGUGGUAUUCUGUUACAGCAGCACAAGACAGGUUGAGGUAGGCUGAGAGACCACAGCUCAGGCAACUCACAGGAGCCAGAAGGAAGAGCAGACUGCUUACACAGUCUUGAGCCCAGCCUCGGAUGUUUGUGCAGAGAGUGUUGGCGAUAACUCAAGAAGAGAGAUUCUUUGGCCCAGUUGGAAUAUCUUGGAAAACAUGGCUGUAUGUAUAAUAAGUGUGAGGAUUACCCAAAUGCAGGAUCCAAAAAGGCUCAGUUACUCAACCAAAAAGCAUUGAGACCAGAGAGGACAGAACUAGGAUUCGAAUUUGGUUCUUUCUGUUCCAUGUCCGUGUUAUUCUAACCUUUACCUUGGACCAGUCCCCAAACAUCCACGUCUCUGUCCAUUUUGUUUUCUUCUGCUGAAUGCUGACCCCUCACUCCCGAGAAGCAUGGUCCACCAAAAGACUGUGCUGUUCUGUUUCCAUAAUGCACCACACAGCCUUCAGUGUAUGCGGUGUGAGAUCUGACCCAUGAGAUCCCCGACUUCCUCAGCAGUCUCGGUUCUAUAUCAGCAUUUAUUGAGCACUUACUAGAUACUGGUCUAAAGACUUGACAAUUAAGCCCAUCCUAAAGCAACAGCUCCAAAAGAUGACAGUGGGGCUGUGGACAGUCCAUCUGUCCUAGGUCACCCAACUCCUAGAGAACCCAUGCUUCUCAGACUCUCAGUCACACUCUUAACCUGUACGCUGGAAGACAAAUCAGGUCUUACUAUACACCCUGCCUUCUCUUCAUGCAUCACAAGAGCCAACCUUAUGAAUGAGGCAAUAACCAAAUGACUGAACAAACAUGACAUCUCUGUCUGCUAGCUGCUGCAUCCCUAGGUCCUGACUCAGUGCUGGUAUGUUGUAAGAUGCUCAAAUAUUUGUUGAUUGACUAAAAGAAAUAACCCAUUCAUUUUUCAGUUCUAAAGUCCUGAGAUGCUGGGGCAGAAAUACAGAAAGGAAGUCAUCUUGCUCAGGGAGAGGGCCUCACUUCCAGAUUCUGAGGGCUUUAUUCAUUCUUGGCGCCACCAACAACAACCAACACCUUUUAAGAGGCUGACAGAAUCCAAGCUCUGCAGAGCCUCUGGGCUGACACCUCAUGUGAUGGGAGCCCAGGAGUGCAGCUCAGGCUACUGUUAUUUUCCAUGCCCGCCUCAGAGACCUGGUCUUAAAAGGAGCCAAAUUUCACACAAAUCAGAUGGCGUUCUCAUUAAAAUAAUGAGUUGCAAGAAUAACAGCUUCCCAGGGCAUUAUCUACAAACCCUCUGGGCUACCCUGACAGCUUUGGCGCAUGCCCCUCCUGGUUUUGUUGGAGGUCUUGUCCCUGUGGAACCACAUGGCAGCCUACUCACCUUCCCCAACCUGGUUUGAAUCAACCACAGCUUCUCCUGAUGCCUUCUCACCGGCCAGGUGCACUGCUAAAGUGGGCACAGAGACAGCAAGGGAGAGGCCCAGAGGAAAAUGACUCGGAGCAUGCAAUUUGGGUUUAUUUUGAAAUAAAACAACAGAGGCCAUGAUGUUAAGCUAAAUAAUAGCCAUAAAGGGCCUAGCCUGGGACCUGGCACAAGAUUAAUGCUCUGGAAGUAAGCGUCCCCCUUCCUCCUGCAGAUUACAGCAACACCAGUAGAGAUGUUAGCUUUGGCAAUGCCUCCUCCCAGAAUGCACUUGAUCUGCUGUUGAGCAAAUGCUUGGAUUUUCAACUGCUAUAAUUACUGUCCCAGGCAAGGCUAAUGCCAGGAUGCCCAACAAGGCUGUAUCAACCAUUUACAAUGAGCAUCUUUCCCAGCUGGAUCAUGCCUAGAUUUCUCUUUAUGAAGUUUUUAAUAUCACAUCUGGUACCAAUAUUCAUGUGUUUAAUAUGUAUAUAGUAAGUACCUACUGCAUACCAAACUCUUCCAAACAGCAAUAAAAGAAUAAAAGGC